rnacentral:rRNA from 1 species
AUUGAACGCUGGCGGCAGGCCUAACACAUGCAAGUCGAACGCGUGGCGGACGGGGGUGUAAUAUCUGGGAAACUGCCCGAAGGAGGGGGGUAACUACUGGAGAAGGUAGCGCUAACCCCGUACCAUCGGAUGUGCCCAUAUGGGAUUAGCUUGUAGGUGAGGUAACGGCCCACCUAGGCGACGCUCCCUAGCUGGUCUGAGAGGAUGACCAGCAACACUGGGACUGAGACACGGUCCAGACUCCUACGGGAGGCAGCAGUGGGGAAUAUUGCACAAUGGGCGCAAGCCUGAUGCAGCCAUGCCGCGUGUAUGAAGAAGGUCUUCGGAUUGUAAAGCACUUUAAGUUGGGAGGCGUUACCAACAGAAUAAGCACCGGCUAACUUCGUGCCAGCAGCCGCGGUAAUUC